rnacentral:rRNA from 1 species
CAACUUUCAACAANCGGAUCUCUUGGCUCUCGCAUCGAUGAAGAACGCAGCGAAAUGCGAUAAGUAAUGUGAAUUGCAGAAUUCAGUGAAUCAUCGAAUCUUUGAACGCACCUUGCGCCCCUUGGUAUUCCGAGGGGCAUGCCUGUUUGAGUGUCAUUA